rnacentral:rRNA from 1 species
CCUACGGUUGGCAGCAGUGAGGAAUAUUGGUCAAUGGGCGUAAGCCUGAACCAGCCAAGCCGCGUGAGGGAUGAAGGUUCUAUGGAUCGUAAACCUCUUUUAUACGGGAAUAACUUGAGGGACGCGUCACUUUUUGUAUGUACCUUAUGAAUAAUGAUCGGCUCACUCCGUGCCAGCAGCCGCGGUAAUACGGCGGAUCCUAGCGUUAUCCGGAUUUAUUGGGUUUAAAGGGUGCGUAGGUGGCGUUUUAAGUCAGCUGUUAAAGUCUGUGGCUCAACCAUAGAAUUGCAGUUGAAACUGGUAGGCGUGAGUGUGUUAGAGGUAGGCGGAAUGCGUGGUGUAGCGGUGAAAUGCGUAGAGAUCAGGAAGAACGCCGAUGGCGAAGGCAGUAU